AUUGAACGCUGGCGGCAGGCUUAACACAUGCAAGUCGAGCGGAGAUGAGGUGCUUGCACCUUAUCUUAGCGGCGGACGGGUGAGUAAUGCUUAGGAACCUGCCUAUUAGUGGGGGACAACAUUCCGAAAGGAAUGCUAAUACCGCAUACGUCCUACGGGAGAAAGCAGGGGAUCUUCGGACCUUGCGCUAAUAGAUGAGCCUAAGUCGGAUUAGCUAGUUGGUGGGGUAAAGGCCUACCAAGGCGACGAUCUGUAGCGGGUCUGAGAGGAUGAUCCGCCACACUGGGACUGAGACACGGCCCAGACUCCUACGGGAGGCAGCAGUGGGGAAUAUUGGACAAUGGGGGGAACCCUGAUCCAGCCAUGCCGCGUGUGUGAAGAAGGCCUUAUGGUUGUAAAGCACUUUAAGCGAGGAGGAGGCUACUGAGACUAAUACUCUUGGAUAGUGGACGUUACUCGCAGAAUAAGCACCGGCUAACUCUGUGCCAGCCGCCGUAAAAC
rnacentral:rRNA from 1 species